GUCCACGCCCUAAACGAUGUCUACUAGUUGUUGGUGGAGUAAAAUCCAUGAGUAACGCAGCUAACGCGUGAAGUAGACCGCCUGGGGAGUACGGUAGCAAGAUUAAAACUCAAAUGAAUUGACGGGGGCCCGCACAAGCGGUGGAUUAUGUGGAUUAAUUCGAUGCAACGCGAAAACCUUACCUGGCCUUGACAUGUACGGAACUUUCCAGAGAUGGAUUGGUGCUCGAAAGAGAACCGUAACACAGGUGCUGCAUGGCUGUCGU
rnacentral:rRNA from 1 species